ACGAUAUGAAAAUCAUUCGGAAGAUUGUAUUCCUGAAAUAGAUAUAUCGCUUAGUGUUAAUGUGCAGCCCUGCCAAUACGAACCAGUUGUACAGCGAGACGCAUCCCCACUAGUGGAAAACGAUAGUUAUUCAGAAAACAGCGAGGAUCAAUCGGACGAAUGCCCUUCACCUGUUCACCAUCUGAUAUGCGAGGUCGAUAUGCAAUGGUGAUCAUAUAGGCUAGUAAUGUCAUCGCAAUGCCCUCAAGAAGGGAGUCCAAAUGUUGCAGUGCAUAGGAUUGAAGAAGUGGGCGUGUCCUGCAUCACAGAUCACGAAGGUUUUGUUGUGGCAAACUGUCUCAACAGAUUGGUUAUAGGAACAGCUUAUUAUGAAUGCAGACAAAAUAUUGGUCCCUUGGAGGAGGGGGAAUUGAUUCACAAAUUUUACAGACAUCAUGCAUAUUGGAGAUCUGGUAGUAGCUUGGGAAAAACAAUUGGAAAGUUCUUCUAUCCUGCGUUGUGACUAUGAUAAGAAAUCAUUCCAUCACAACAGCACUGUGGAUUUAAAUACCCUUUGGUAUUAAUUUAAAUGUGUGAUAAAUUCUUAAUGCAUUUUUCAUAAGUGAUAUAAAUAAAUAUAAACAAGUAAACAUAGUUUGAUGUUCAGUUUUUAUAUUGUACAUAAUAUAUAUCACCAAUUUACAUAUAUGUAAUUUGGGUUAAAUCCAAAAGGUCUACAGGUCCCAGUCACCUGAGUUUGACACAUGUUGGUAGGAAUUUGUGAUCGGGGCAGGAGAAUUACCAACAACAUCCAUUAUAUUAACUUCCUGGAGUUUCUGUAGGAGCCAAACUGAUCACUUCCUGCAUCAAUUCAAAGGCUUAAUCUGAAAUAUAACAAAACGUUACAAUUCAAUAAACAUGUACUUAUUGUCUAGUAUUAUGAAUAUCCACUCACAUACAUACUAAUUAUGUGGGUCAAUUUAAAAAAUGUACAUAUUUGAGGUGAAGAAAAACAAAAAAAUUCAAAUGUCGCAGAAAAUUAAUUUUCAUAUUAAUGAAGCAUUGUAAAAUAAAUGUCUAGAUACUAUUAAAUACCAAUGUUCUUUAAUAUUUUCUAGAUUGAAAUUGCUAAUUUAUUCAAGUAUUUCAAAUAAUUUAAUGCAAAUUAGUAGAUAAAAAUGAAAAUAAGUAUGUCAAUGGUCAAAAUUGACCUACAUGUAAAAUUUGUACAUGUAUUCCGUUUCUUUUUCCAACAACUGGAUUUAUUUAAUGAUACAAGUUUAAUUUUCCAUCUCAUAAUUAUAAGAAUAUUAUCAAAACUAUGGUUGUAAGAAAUAUUCAUUUAUCAAUUUCACAAUUUAUCUAUUUAGUAAAUUGUAAAAUUGCUUCUUUUGGGGGGGGGGGGUCUGUAACUUGGGAAAUUUGCAUAGUAUCAGCAUGGAUAAAUAAAUAUAUGCUCUGCAUUUAAUUAAUCAAAUGUGGAUCAUGUGUACUUAGUCAUGUUGCAUGUAUAUCAUAAAGCUGAUUAAGUAUACUCGACUAGUGAUAUUUUUAUUGUACUACUACUUGUGUAGAUUUUUCUAUACCUAUUUCUGGAUUUUAUAUUAAUUAUUGUACUUCAGAGAAAACUCAGUACAAAUAUGUGUCCUAUAUUUACUUGUUUUAAAAUCAUUUACCUUUAUGGCAUAAAAAUAAUGAAUUUUAGAAAAAUUUACAAUUUUUUCAUGUUUGACACUGUAUUGAGUUUGUAUUCAAAUUUAGUAACAGUAUCGAGAGUAACAUCAUGGACAAAGUGUAAAAAAUCUAAAGGGCAUGAGUGUAGAACACAAGUGAAAAAAUAUUCAGAUUUUAUACAAAGUUACUUAACAUGCAUAUUGGCUAUGAUUCUAAUUUACACAUUUGCAAAAGUUCACUUCAAUCUAGAAUAAUAUUCAUAGAUAUUUACUUGAUAUCCUUCACCUAACUUGUAUACAUAUGUAUGUACAUGUAUGUUACAUGAACAAUUGAACAUUCAAAGUAUCCAUUAAAUUUACACCAAUGUGUAAUAUUUUUGAAAACAAAUUUGAUAAUACAAUUCAUGUCAUUUUGUGGCUCUAGUACAAAUCUUGCAAUCAUUCCA